rnacentral:rRNA from 1 species
GAUGAACGCUGGCGGCGUGCCUAACACAUGCAAGUCGAGCGAUUCUCUUCGGAGAAGAGCGGCGGACGGGUGAGUAACGCGUGGGUAACCUGCCCUGUACACACGGAUAACAUACCGAAAGGUAUGCUAAUACGGGAUAACAUAAAAAAAUCGCAUGUUUUUCUUAUCAAAGCUCCGGCGGUACAGGAUGGACCCGCGUCUGAUUAGCUAGUUGGUGAGGUAAUGGCUCACAAAGGCGACGAUCAGUAGCCGACCUGAGAGGGUGAUCGGCCACAUUGGAACUGAGACACGGUCCAAACUCCUACGGGAGGCAGCAGUGGGGAAUAUUGCACAAUGGGCGAAAGCCUGAUGCAGCAACGCCGCGUGAGCGAUGAAGGCCUUCGGGUCGUAAAGCUCUGUCCUCAAGGAAGAUAAUGACGGUACUUGAGGAGGAAGCCCCGGCUAACUACGUGCCAGCCGCCGCGGUAAUAC